GACGAACGCUGGCGGCGUGCUUAACACAUGCAAGUCGAACGGUGAUGCUCCAGCUUGCUGGAGUGGAUCAGUGGCGAACGGGUGAGUAACACGUGAGCAACCUGCCCCAGACUCUGGAAUAAGCGCUGGAAACGGCGUCUAAUACUGGAUACGAAACUGGCCCGCAUGGGCAUGGUUUGGAAAGUUUUUCGGUUUGGGAUGGGCUCGCGGCCUAUCAGCUUGUUGGUGAGGUAAUGGCUCACCAAGGCGACGACGGGUAGCCGGCCUGAGAGGGCGACCGGCCACACUGGGACUGAGACACGGCCCAGACGCCUACGGAGGCAGCAGUGGGGAAUAUUGCACAAUGGGCGAAAGCCUGAUGCAGCGACGCCGCGUGAGGGAUGACGGCCUUCGGGUUGUAAACCUCUUUCAGCAGGGAAGAAGCGAAAGUGACGGUACCUGCAGAAGAAGCACCGGCUAACUACGUG
rnacentral:rRNA from 1 species